rnacentral:rRNA from 1 species
UACGUAGGGGGCAAGCGUUGUCCGGAUUUAUUGGGCGUAAAGAGCGUGUAGGCGGCCAUACAGGUCCGUUGUGAAAACUGGAGGCUUAACCUCCAGACGUCGAUGGAAACCGUAUGGCUAGAGUCCGGAAGAGGAGAGUGGAAUUCCUGGUGUAGCGGUGGAAUGCGCAGAUAUCAGGAAGAACACCAACGGCGAAGGCAGCUCGCUGGGACGGAACUGACGCUAAGGCGCGAAAGCGUGGGGAGCGAACAGG